UGAGUACGAGAUGCUACGGCAUCGAAGCAGUCUAUGUCAUACUUCCAAGAAAAGCUUGCACUGUCAUAAACAAAGAAUGCCUGUACCAUAACCGACACAGGUGGGUAGGUAGAGUAUACUAAGGGGCGCGAGAUAACUCUCUCUAAGGAACUCGGCAAAAUGACUCCGUAACUUCGGGAGAAGGAGUGCCUUACUUCUAAGGUUGCAAUAACAAGAUCCAAGCAACUGUUUACCAAAAACACAGGUCUCCGCUAAGUCGUAAGACGAUGUAUGGGGGCUGACGCCUGCCCAGUGCCAGAAGGUUAAAGAAGUUGGUUAGCAUUAGCGAAGCUGAUAACUGAAGCCCUGGUGAACGGCGGCCGUAACAAUAACGGUCCUAAGGUAGCGAAAUUCCUUGUCGGGUAAGUUCCGACCCGCACGGAAGGCGUAAUGAUUUGGAUACUGUCUCGGAGAGGGGCUCGGUGAAAUAGACUUGUCUGUGAAGAUGCGGACUACCUGCACCUGGACAGAAAGACCCUAUGAAGCUUUACUGUAACUUGAGAUUGAAAUUGGACUUUAUUUGCGCAGUAUAGGUGGGAGGCGUUGAGAAUAAUCUUGCGGGAUUGUUGGAGCCAUCAGUGAGAUACCACUCUUGUAAUGUUAGAUUUCUAACUUUGUAUCAUUAUCUGGUCAAAGAACAGUUUCAGGCGGGCAGUUUGACUGGGGCGGUCGCCUCCCAAAGGGUAACGGAGGCGCACAAAGGUUUCCUCUGAACGGGUAGAAAUCGUAUCUAGAGUGUAAAGGCAUAAGGAAGCUUGACUGUGAGACCUACAAGUCGAGCAGGGACGAAAGUCGGUCUUAGUGAUCUGACGGUGCUGAGUGGAAAGGCCGUCACUCAACGGAUAAAAGUUACUCUAAGGAUAACAGGCUGAUCUCCCCCAAGAGUUCACAUCGACGGGGAGGUUUGGCACCUCGAUGUCGGCUCAUCGCAUCCUGGGGCGGUAGUCCGUCCCAAGGGUUGGGCUGUUCGCCCAUGAAAGCGGUACGCGAGCUGGGUUCAGAACGUCGUGAGACAGUUCGGUCCAUAUCCGGUGUAGGCGUUAGAAUAUUGAGAGGAGCCUUCUCUAGUACGAGAGGACCGAGAAGGACAUACCUCUGGUGUACCAGUUAUCGUGCCAACGGUAAACGCUGGGUAGCUAUGUAUGGAGUGGAUAACCGCUGAAAGCAUCUAAGUGGGAAGCCCACCUCAAGAUAAGUAUUCUCA
rnacentral:rRNA from 1 species